rnacentral:rRNA from 1 species
AUAGUGGACUGGGCACGAACCGGAUUAGAUACCCGGGUAGUCCUAGGUGUAAACGGUGUGGACUUGGUGUUGGGGAUUCUACGAGUAUCCCCAGUGCCGGAGUGAAGAUGUUAAGUCCACUGCCUGGGGAGUACGGUCGCAAGGCUGAAACUUAAAGGAAUUGGCGGGGGAGCACAGCAACGAGAGGAGCGUGCGGUUUAAUUGGAUUCAACGCCGGAAAACUCACCAGAGCCGACGGACAUAUGAAGAUCAGCGUGAUGAGCUUAUUGGAUUGUUCGAGAGGUAGUGCAUGGCCGUCGUCAGUUCGUACCGUAAGGCGUUCUGUUAAGUCAGAUAACGAACGAGACCCCUAUCGUCUAUUUGCUACACGGAUCGCAAGAUUCGUCGCACUAUAGCGAGACCGCUGGCGUGAAGUCAGAGGAAGGUGGGGGCAACGACAGGUCAGUAUGCUCCGAAUGCUCUGGGCUACACGCGCGCUACAAAGGCCAGGACAAUGGGUCUGCCACGCCGAGAGGCGGCGCUAUCCCGAAACC